rnacentral:rRNA from 1 species
AUUGAACGCUGGCGGCAGGCCUAACACAUGCAAGUCGAGCGGCAGCGGGAAAGUAGCUUGCUACUUUUGCCGGCGAGCGGCGGACGGGUGAGUAAUGCCUGGGAAAUUGCCCAGUCGAGGGGGAUAACAGUUGGAAACGACUGCUAAUACCGCAUACGCCCUACGGGGGAAAGCAGGGGACCUUCGGGCCUUGCGCGAUUGGAUAUGCCAGGGUGGGAUUAGCUAGUUGGUGAGGUAAUGGCUAACCAAGGCGACGAUCCCUAGCUGGUCUGAGAGGAUGAUCAGCCACACUGGAACUGAGACACGGUCCAGACUCCUACGGGAGGCAGCAGUGGGGAAUAUUGCACAAUGGGGGAAACCCUGAUGCAGCCAUGCCGCGUGUGUGAAGAAGGCCUUCGGGUUGUAAAGCACUUUCAGCGAGGAGGAAAGGUUGAUGCCUAAUACGCAUCAACUGUGACGUUACUCGCAGAAGAAGCACCGGCUAACUCCGUGCCAGCCGCCGCAGUAA